rnacentral:rRNA from 1 species
GAUGAACGCUGGCGGCGUGCCUAAUACAUGCAAGUCGAGCGAACGGACGAGAAGCUUGCUUCUCUGAUGUUAGCGGCGGACGGGUGAGUAACACGUGGAUAACCUACCUAUAAGACUGGGAUAACUUCGGGAAACCGGAUCUAAUACCGGAUAAUAUUUUGAACCGCAUGGUUCAAAAGUGAAAGACGGUCUUGCUGUCACUUAUAGAUGGAUCCGCGCUGCAUUAGCUAGUUGGUAAGGUAACGGCUUACCAAGGGAACGAUGCCUAGCCGACCGGAGAGCGUGAUCGGCCACACUGGAACUGAGACACGGUACAGACUCCGACGGGAGGCAGCAACAGGGAAUGGUGCGAGCUGGGCGAAAGCCUGACGGAGCAACGCCGCGUGAAUGAUGAAGGUCCGCGGAUCGUAAAACUGUGUUAUUGGGGAAGAACAUAUGUGUAAGUAACUGUGCACAUCUUGACGGUACCUAAUCAGAAAGCCACGGCUAACUACGU